rnacentral:ncRNA from 1 species
UAUAGGUACAGAUAGUGAUUGAUAUACUAUACUGUGUACAACAAGGAAAUGAAUUAGUGUUUAAGCGUAUUUGUAAGUACGUCAUCUUGUUGGGUCGCCCUAAUGGGCGAUUUGUGUUAUAU